GGCGCGCAGCUGCCGCGGGGUUCGGCCUGGCGGAGCAGAUGGCGCCGGCGGGGGGCAGCCGUUUGACGCCUACAAGAAGGACCACAGUCCCAUUUUACAGCUAGAAAACUGAGGUCUGAGAAGGAGCUGAGCGGCAAUGGGGCCAGGACUAGACCCUAGACCCCUGCCUGACAUGUGCUUCUGCCUGGGGACAAGCGUGUCUCCAGCCUAAGGGGCCCGCCAAAAGCAAACGAACUUUCUCGAUCUUGCUUGUCUAUGUUCCAAAAAAUGUUCUUCCUCGUGUAGGGCCCUUGCACAUGGUGUCCUUUAAGCCCCACCCUAAUCCCUCCCCACCCCCCAACCAUUCCUUCCAAGGGCUCUUUCAGUUUUCAGCUGAGGCGGCAUUGUCUCCAGGAAGCCUCCCUGGAACCACAGCACCAGGGCCCUAAGGGUGGCUAAGACCCUUCAUUCGAUGAACGUGCGGGAGCCCCCCCCCCAACUGUAAGGACAGGGAGUGGGUGUGCCUUUUUGUUCAGCAUCCUGUUCCACCUGCAUCAUAGGCACUCAAGACAUAGUUGUGAAUGAAUGAGUAGUUAAACGGGUGAAUGAAUGAACCAACAGGAUCUCUGAAGUGGCACUUACUUCCUUACUAUCCAGUUGUCAGCCAGUCGGGGGCGGAGGGAGGGCAGAUAAUACAAGAACCAGGGCUGUUUGGAAUCUUGGGCCUUCUCAGCCGCAGCCCUUCGUUAAUGAAACGUGUGCUGCGGUUUGCUCCCCUUCCUCCUGCUCAGCCCACCCCACCGCCCUGUGACUGGAGGCCAAGCCCUUCCCCUCCUGUUGACGGAACGGAGUCUUCCUAAUGCUGAUGAAUGAAGUGACCGUUAAUAAGAUGAAACCAGGCCAGAGAGAGCCAAAUGAGAAAGUUGGCAGCUUUGUGAAGAAACUGUAGGUUAAGUAACUUCCCCAGGAUCAAGAGCUGGUGACAGGCAGGAUUCAACCCAGACAGUUACCUGCUAGGCACUGUCACAUUCACGGUUUUCAGGAUGUUCUCUGAGGACCCCCAGGGUCCCAUCCAGGGAUGGAGAAGAUUGAGGCAAAGGGACUUUUGGCUGGGCAG